AUUGAACGCUGGCGGCAGGCCUAACACAUGCAAGUCGAACGAGGGGCGGACGGGUGAGUAAUGUCUGGGAAACUGCCUGAUGGAGGGGGAUAACUACUGGACACGGUAGCUAAUACCGCAUACCCUCGGAUGUGCCCAGAUGGGAUUAGCUAGUAGGUGGGGUAAAGGCUCACCUGGGCGACGAUCCCUCGCUGGUCUGAGAGGAUUACCAGCCACACUGGAACUGAGACACGGUCCAGACUCCUACGGGAGGCAGCAGUGGGGAAUAUUGCACAAUGGGCGCAAGCCUGAUGCAGCCAUGCCGCGUGUAUGAAGAAGGCCUUCGGGUUGUAAAGUACUUUCAGCGGGGAGGCGUUACCCGCAGAAGAAGCACCGGCUAACUCCGUGCCAGCAGCCGCGGUAAUUC
rnacentral:rRNA from 1 species